GAGUUUGAUCAUGGCUCAGGAUGAACACUAGCGGCAGGCCUAACACAUACAAGUCGAGGGGUAACAGGGUAGCAAUAUCGCUGACGACCGGCGCACGGGUGAGUAACGCGUAUGCAACCUUCCUUUAACUGGGGGAUAGCCUGGAGAAAUUCGGAUUAAUACCCCAUAACAUCAUGAGAAGGCAUCUUUUUAUGAUUAAAGCUCCGGCGGUUAAAGAUGGGCAUGCGUGCCAUUAGCUUGUUGGUGAGGUAACGGCUCACCAAGGCUUCGAUGGUUAGGGGGUCUGAGAGGAUGAUCCCCCACACUGGUACUGAGACACGGACCAGACUCCUACGGGAGGCAGCAGUGAGGAAUAUUGGGCAAUGGGCGCAAGCCUGACCCAGCCAUGCCGCGUGAAGGAUGAAUGCCCUAUGGGUUGUAAACUUCUUUUGUACGGGACGAAACUCCUGGUCGUGACCGGGAUUGACUGUACCGUGCGAAUAAGCAUCGGCUAACUCCGUGCCAGCAGCCGCGGUAAUACGGAGGAUGCAAGCGUUAUCCGGAUUCAUUGGGUUUAAAGGGUGCGUAGGCGGAAUAAUAAGUCAGUGGUGAAAGCCUGCGGCUUAACCGUAGAAAUGCCAUUGAUACUGUUAUUCUUGAGUAUAGUUGAGGUGGGCGGAAUGUGUAAUGUAGCGGUGAAAUGCUUAGAUAUUACACAGAACACCAAUUGCGAAGGCAGCUCACUAAGCUGUUACUGACGCUGAGGCACGAAAGCGUGGGGAGCAA
rnacentral:rRNA from 1 species